rnacentral:rRNA from 1 species
AUUGAACGCUGGCGGCAGGCCUAACACAUGCAAGUCGAACGAGUGGCGGACGGGUGAGUAACGUCUGGUAAACUGCCUGAUGGAGGGGGAUCACUACUGGAAACGGUCGCCAAUACCGCAUACCAUCAGAUUUGCCCAGAUGGGAUUAGCUAGUUGGUGGGGUAACGGCUCACAAAGGCGACGAUCCCUAGCUGGUCCGGUAGGAUGACCGGCAACACGGGAACUGAGACACGGUCCAGACUCCUACGGGAGGCAGAAGUGGGGAAUAUUGGACAAGGAGGGAAAGCCGGAUGCGGCCAGGCGGCGUGUAGGAAGAAGGCCUUCGGGUGGUAAGGUACUUUCAGCGGGGAGGCGUUACCCGCAGAAGAAGCACCGGCUAACUCCGUGCCAGCAGCCGCGGUAAUAC